UACGUAGGUGGCGAGCGUUAUCCGGAUUUACUGGGUGUAAAGGGUGUGUAGGCGGGAUGACAAGUCAGAUGUGAAAGACCGUGGCUUAACUACGGCACUGCAUCAGAAACUGUUAUUCUUGAGUGUGGGAGAGGAAAGCAGAAUUCCUGGUGUAGCGGUGAAAUGCGUAGGAAUCAGGAGGAAUACCAGUGGCGAAGGCGGCUUUCUGGACUGACCCUGACGCUGAGGUGCGAAAGCGUGGGUAGCAAACAGGAUUAGAUACCCCCGUA
rnacentral:rRNA from 1 species